rnacentral:misc_RNA from 1 species
CCAUGGUCAGGCAUUAAUAAUUGAUCCCUGGGGAACAGUAGUUGGUCAAUUGCCAGAUCGACUCUCAACAGGUAUUACUGUGGCUGAUAUUGAUUUUGCAUUGAUUGACUCAGUGAGAGCGAAGAUACCAAUCGCCCAGCAACGGAAGCCCAUUGAUUUCUGGAAAUCUUCCUCUCUCUGAUUUGAGUCCUGCUACAUCUGCUAUAUCCAGUUGUUAGGUCAAAGCCACAUCAAAUUCUUACUGUGAUAUAAUUCAAGGACAUGCUUCUUAUUGCUCUCUGGAAGAAGUAUGACACAGUUAUGCCUUGUAAGUUGCAAAAUAAGUUAAAGUUUUCUUUGUCAGGGAGCUGUUUAUGUGCACUUCAUUUUAUCCAUAUCUCUGUAAUUAGAUUCUUGUGCUAUUAGUAAACAAUAUAUUCAUCUAAUUUCCUAU